GCCGCCCCAGGUCUCCCCUGACGCCCACACCCACCACCAGGCUGUUGUGCGGGACCUUCCUUCUCUGCCUCUCCAGCUGGUGACGCGCACUGACGUCCUGCAAGGCCCGCUCCAGGUGCGCCACCUUUGACUGGCAUGCUGAAAGGACAAAGGGACGGAGGCAUUUUACCGGAGAGGACAUCCAUGGGGCCCAGCAGGUCAAAUUCCUUUCUCUAAGUAUGGGAGACAUUUUUAAAAAUAAUGGAGUCCUCCAGGGCCGGCUGCGUGCUGUGGCCUGUGCUCCUCACUGCUUUGGACCCAGGCUGCGCUGUCUCCACCACGACCAAGGACUCACAGAGCUCGCCUGGGGGACCUGGCCCCACAGUCACCCCGUCCGUCAUCAGCCUCAAAUGCCAUCAGCCCGUGAAUGCUGCUCCAUCGUCUGCAUGGCAGCCAAGGAGGAUGGUGCCAGGUGAUGUGGCGAUGAGUGGGCAUCGCGUGGGGGCCUUGGACGAGCGUGGACACCCCAAUCCCCAGACUGGCCAUUGCCGUGGAGGCAGCGUGAGUGUGACAUGGAGCUCGGUGUCGUGCUGCAGAGGACGCCUCGCGGCUGUACGCGUCAUGAUAGCCAGGGACCCCUCCACAUGUCACUUAGCCAAAGGAUGCAGCCCAGCCUGGGGCUUUCUACCCCAGGCCCGAGGACCUGCAGGGACAAGGACCCCUCAGCGCAGAUGCAGCUCUCAUGAGGCCUGAAACCAAGCUGGACUUGCAGAACUGCGCACGCUCCCUUUCUGAAAGAAACACCCGUUACCGGGUCCAGACUGAAUGUGGGCGUAAGAAAGCGGGAAGGGUCCCCCACAGCAAGAGAGAGACCCUCCCAGUCACUUGGUCAUCUGAGCCUUGAGUGUGUCCGGCCCCAGCCACCAGCCUGUCCCCACUAUCCCUCUUGUCAGCACGGCUGAAAGGAGCUGCCUGGGCACCUGAGGUGGCUGAGGCUCAUCUUUGAGGAGCAUGGAACUCGAGGGGAGAAGUCGCGCCCCCAGGGAAGCCAGGCCCUCCGACGGUGGCUCCGUGCCCUCAAAAGAAGGAUGAUCCCUUCCUGGUCCCGCCUGACCCGGGGGAGCUCGGCCCCUGCUGUGCUGUCAGCCUCGCCCCGGCCGCCCGCGCUGACCCCCGC
rnacentral:lncRNA from 1 species